rnacentral:tRNA from 1 species
GCCUCCGUAGCUCAGGGGAUAGAGCGACCCUCUCCUAAAGGGUAGGCCGCAGGUUCGAUUCCUGCCGGGGGCACCA